GCAGUCGAGCGGUAAGGCUUUCACAGAUUAUUUGAACGGAACAGUUCGCUAAUCAGCGAAUACUAUCUGACACAUAGUUCACCUGGCAGUGAAAUAUGGUCGAAUAAUGCGUGAAAGUACACGAGCGGCGGACGGCUGAGUAACGCGUAGGAACGUACCCCAAAGUGAGGAAUAAGCACCGGAAACGGUGUCUAAUGCCGCAUGUGGUCUAUGGACUAAAGUCUUCGGACGCUUUGGGAGCGGCCUGCGUAUGAUUAGCUAGUUGGUGAGGUAAUGGCUCACCAAGGCUACGAUCAUUAGCUGGUCUGAGAGGAUGAUCAGCCAGACUGGGACUGAGACACGGCCCAGACUCCUACGGGAGGCAGCAGUAGGGAAUUUUCCACAAUGGACGAAAGUCUGAUGGAGCAACGCCGCGUGCAGGAUGAAUGCCUUCGGGUUGUAAACUGCUUUUAUGAGUGAUGAAUAUGACAGUAACUCAAGAAUAAGGGUCGGCUAACUACGUGCCAGCAGCCGCGGUCAUACGUAGGACCCAAGCGUUAUCCGGAAUUACUGGGCGUAAAGAGUUNNGUAGGCGGNUUGNUAAGUAANAUGUGAAAGCGUGNGGCUCAGCCGUAUAAACAUAUCNNANACUGACAACUANAGGGCGAGAGAGGUUAUU
rnacentral:rRNA from 1 species